rnacentral:misc_RNA from 1 species
AAAGCUUCGAUCUACUAUUUCACGCACCUCCAGCGUCCUUGGCGUUAUCUAUCCAGCCUCACGCCUCUGUGACUUACCAUCUUUUCGCGGCGUACUUCAUGGCAACAUCAACUACGAAAACAGACUUGCAUUGCUUAAGCUCGGCUGCCUCCAGCACACCGCUGCCGUCUACUCAGUCUCUACUACAACGUUAAAGCGUGGAUAGCAACGAGCUGCACCACAAGCAUGUUUCACGCCGUCUACAGUAACCCGGUGACAAGCGUCCCGGCCUCGAACCGCAUGAUUGCUGGCCCUCAGCCUCUGCCGCCACAGCUGCUGCACAGCUCAGGCAGCCAGAUGAUGCGUGACUGCCCUCUCUCGUUGAAUGACGGGCGGACGGUGAUAUACUGCGUACCGGCGAAGAACGAAGCGAGCCUGCAGCAGGUCUCAUACUUUCGCACAUUAGGGCAGCGCUGGUCGUCCGCUCCCGCCGACAACACUGCCCAGCGCACCGCGGAAACCCACAGCACCGUAUGCUUUGCUUCUUGUGCGAGCGGCGCGAAUGGGGGCGCCGGCGGAUCCCCUGUACUGCUUCAGCCGGCCAUGGGUCUUCCGGCGUUUGUGACCGACAAGCAGCAGCUCCCGUCCAUGGUGGCCCAGCCCUCCCCCACGCUGUCGCGGUUGACCAGCGGCCUGUGCUCGACGAGUGAGGGUACGACCACCUUUGGCGCUUCGACCACGAGCGUCACGAGCUCGACUGUGGGCAGCGGCGCUGCCACCGGCACGGCAGCCACCACGAACGGCUCCAUGUCUCACACGAGCACUUCACCUGGGUUGCCAGGCUUCCAGAUGUCUGUGUCGCUUCCAACUAGCGCCAUAACCGCCGUGGCUGCACCGCCACAGCAGCCGCAGACAUGCUUCUGGCUGAGCCACACUACGGGUGCCCUGACGCCUAUCCGGAAAGAGGAUAUGAUGACUAUCAGCGAUACGAGUGCGAGUACAAGCACGCAUUCGUACGCUAUGCCGCCACCGCCGCCGAUGCCGUCGCAGUCCUCCUCGGUCUCGGCCACUUCAGUUCCUACUUACCUGAUGGCGCCGCAGGUGUCCCCCUUCGGCGGGGCCAUGGUGCAGGCCUUCUCCGAGUCGCUCUCCGGCUCCACAGCGUUUUCGGUGCCUGCUAUGCCGCUGCCGCAGCCGCCACGGCCGCCGAAGACGUUGAAUGGUUUGCAGUACCAGCUGGGUGAGCUGUAUGAGGGCUUCGUGAAGCGCUACAACCCCAACCGCGGUUUCGGCUUCCUGACGGCGACGGCUCACGUUACAAUGGCUAAUGAUGGCUCCAACAGCGAUAGUGUGACAGGCACGCCUAUCGCCUCUCUGAACGCCACCACCACUGCGGUCCCCACAACGAGAGAAGCGGAGACCCCUAAGGAGCACCGCACGCCGGUGCACCUCGGUGACAUUUUCGUGCACCAGUCGUCCAUGCAGAUGGAGGGCUUCCGCACGCUGCCCGUUGGCGGCCGUGUGCGCUUCCGUAUCGGUUACAAAGACGGCCAGCAGACGCUCCAGGCGGUCAGUGUAGAGUUACUGCCGCAGGUGCUGCCGCCCAAUGUAGAGAUGGCGUCGUCGGCAUCGUCAACACAGCAAACGGCAGCUGCAGUGCCCAAUCAAAAGACAGAGAGCAUGGCGUCUUGGUCGCAGGCGGCGCCGCCUUCUAUCUGUGCCGGUGACAGCUCCGUGAACGCGCGACGCUUGGAGGGAUGCGCCAUCAACUUCGCCUCCGAGGACGAUGGUGAUCACAAGGACGACGAGCCGCUCAUAGAGCUGGCCUACGAUAUGUACGCCAGCUUCGAAUGAAGUGUCCGGUGUGCGUCUGUGAGCCUUAUCCUCGCGAACCAUACGUUGCGCAGCGGGAGAAGAAUUUGACAGUACGUGCUUGGUGCGGAACGCUGUGUCCCUCACGCUCGCACUCACUUGCUUAUCUCACAUAACUCGCGCGCUAUCCAGCUAAAGUUCUUCUCCUCGACUCUAUGGUCGUUUUUGUCAUGCGAAGUACAGCGCACCUCCGCGAAUGUGGCUCUCUCGCGCAAACCGGCUUGCAUUUUCCGCUCAAUUCGGAUACUCGACGCGUGUGUGUGUGCAUGUGUGGGUGUGCAUGUGCAUUGAAUUGUUUUUUUUAUGUUACGACUGCGCAUUUUCUUCCGUCUUUUCUUUUUCGUUUCUCUUUCGAAAUGAUCCAGUAACGUUUUCGUUUUUUUUGUUGUCGUUCAUCUCUGUGUCGGCUACACGCACGCACAGACACGACAAGAGGGAGAGAGACAGAUCAGCGAAAGAGAACGGGAAUGCACGAGGGCCAUGAAAAACAGAGGGAUCUCUUUUUUCUUCAUCGUCGACGCGGAGGAUAUAGAGCAAAACAAGAAGUGGGUAGAGCUCCCAGAGACGGCGGCUUAUGCUUCAUUCAUCAUCUCUAUAGGCAAAACAACCCCCUGUCCUCUAUCGCACUCCUUCCUACUCACUGUCCCCAUGUGCCUCGCUCGCUCGCUCGCUGUCUGUCUCCCUGUCUCUCUCUCUGUGUUGCUGCUGCACGUGUGUCUGCAUUUCUUCGCGUCUCUUUGCAUGCGUCUUGGCUUUUUUGUGUUUUCUUCUUUCUUAUCUUUCGCCGUUUAUCUCUCACUCGUAUUUUUUUGUUGCGUUUUCGGUUCUUCCUUGCACACCGACAUACACACGCACACACGUGUCCUUCCUCCCUCUACAGCAGACAUGAAAACGAGACGAGGCAACGGCCGCUAUGCGAGGGGAGAGAGAGGACGAAAAAAAGGCAAAAAGGAAGAGAGAGAGAUGCGCUCAGAAGGCUUUUCUUCCUUUUUGCGGUUUCCUGUUAUCAUCGUGAUUUUGGAUGUCCGUUUCUUUUUUCUUUUUUUUCCUUUCCUUCUUUCUCGUCUCUCUUUAUCUUCUUGCCAUCUUUUCCUUCCUUCUUCCGCGUGCAUGUUCUCCUCUUGCCGCUCUCGCCCUCCGGGCAGCUCUGCGUGCUGGCCACAUUGUGUGUCUCUCUUCUCUUGCGCUGCCGUUCGCCCCCCUCCCUUUCCGUAGUUUAUGUUUUUUUUUUUUUCUGUUCUUUGGGUGCGUGCUGUCUCGCCUUUGCCAUCUGUCUCACUCUCGCUCUCUCCCUCAAAGGCCCACCGCUGCUGUGCGCACAUGCACCUCCGACAUUUCUAAUCCUUUUUUUUAUAUUUUAUUAUUUUUUUUUUAUUUUUGGUCUGUUUUUAUGUUCAUUUCAGAGCGCUGCACAGCACAUAGCGAUAGCAGAAAAGGUCACACGAAGCAGAACAACAGCCAACAAAAAAGGGCCAGAGAAGAUAUCGAAUGUGCCACAUUCCGAACAAACUAGCUCAACGAGAGAAAAUAACGCACAACGCUUGUGUGCGUGAUGUGACGCAUGCGCUGUCAUUUUCUUUUUUGCUUCUUAUUUUCCACUGCACCGGAUUGACGAUGUCUUGCUCUCUCUCCUUAUGGAGUGCCAUACACGUUGUUGUUCUUUCUGGUAUCCUCCUCUGCGUCAUGUGCGGGUUUCUGCGGCAAAAGACGCAGCAGAUACGCACAGAGAGGCACAGAGGCGCCCGUAAGAGAGACAGGAAAGGGCGCCGGCUAAGCUAGAGCGUUUUUUUUUUGUUUUCGCCCUUCAUGACCCCCCUCCCCGCACACACACUCCGCGCUUUUCUGAAACCUCACGACUCCCUCCUCGGCAAAGGAAACGUAUGGGUUCAAAACAAGGAAAAGGUAAAGCAAGAAGCAAAAUGAAACCGCCGCAAACAUCAGCAGUGACUGAUCGAUAUGUGUACACCUAUCGGAGAAAAAAACAAGUCACGCUGCAUGUUUCGUCUUCAGUUUCGUUAUGCAAAUGAAUGAAUAAAUAUCUAUAUCUAUAUAUAUAUAUAUAUAUAUAUAUGUGUUGUGCCUCAUACGGAAUGGUGUGCGAGGACACCUUACAAGCUCAUCGAGUGUGCCCCUCCCUGCUUCCCCCCCGCACACAGACAGUGAACGGCAUUGCUUUUUCCUUUCCCCCUUUUUUUGCAGUGUAACACUCGCUUCCAAGACUCAGGCGAGAGAGAGGGAGAUGAGAUAACAAAAAGGGCAUCAACGCAUUGUUUUCUCAAGCCCCUUCGCGCUCAUCAUCUGUGCUCUCCGUCACUCUUCCACGCCCCCUUUUCUGAGAACACGCGUUGUUGUGAGCCAUGCCGCUGUGUGUAACCGACCCUCUGCCUUUUCUCUCUGGAAUGGAAAAGGCGACAACGGUGAUGCGGCCUGCUCGCUCGCUACAAACUUCUCCAAGGCUGGAAGAGGGCGACACAUAAUAAUAACAAAGAAAACGUUCAAAAGGGAUACAUUCCUUGCCUUUUCUUGUAUAUCGACUCACUCAUCCUUUUUUUUGUUGUUGCUUGCUUGUUUUUCUGUUUUGGUUUCGUUUUUGCUUCUUUCUUUGCCCAUGCUUGUGUCUCUUGCAUGCCCUUCUUUUUUCGCUCCCUUUUCUUCCGCCCUCCUCCCCCCUUCUUCCCAUGUUAGAGCGUUAGGGUACCGCACAAGGUACAAAAAAAAAUACAGCACUUGCUUGAUCCUCUCCCUUCUUCCGUGUCCGGAUUCUUUCCGAGAUUGCCACGGCGCCUCCCAUCUUUUUUUUUUCUGUGUUGUUUUUGUUCUCAUGUCAGUUUGGCUUCUCGCUUCCCUCUUUACUGUUGGUUUAAGCACUUUCCGAUUUCAUUCUACUCCCUCUCCUGUUGUUGUUUUUCGUUUUCAUAUCUCUCGCGCCCGUUUAUUGUCCUGCUUUGCCUUCAUUAGAGCCGUCUGAGAAGAAGGGGAAAGGCGGGACCGUUGUGGGUUCGGGAUCUUCGCCUGCCUAGAUGAUAUGCCUCCCUCUCUGUACCUUUCUCCUCCACAGUUCCUCCUCCCCCUAAAAAAUAUAAAAAAAAACGGUGCAGAAUCAUCUUGAUUGUUCUCUCGUGUAUGACUGUGGGCGGCCUGAGCUUUCUCGAUGCUGCCCUGCUCGUCUUCCUUUCUGUUGCCCCUCCUUUUCCUUCGGUGCGUCAGAAGAGGCGCUCAUACGCCCUUCCUCUUGCCUCCCCCUCUCUGUCUCCUAGACUUAGGCGCAUACAUAUAUAUAUAUGUAUACAUGUACAUGUGUGCGUGUAUAUAUGCAUAUACUUAGGCUGUCUGGGAGUAUCAGUGUCUGUAUCGACCUCUCUUUUUCUACCUGAUAUAUAUGUAUAUAUCGAUGACGUGCUUCUACCGGCAUCCAUGUGGGCGGUGUUUCAUGUGUGCGCGUGUUUUUUUUUUCGUUGACGUCAUGGCCACGUACACGUGAUACCAGCAACCAGCAUCCACGUGUUUGAGGUUUGAGGGGGCAAACGCAACAAAUACAUAGAAUUCAAGCGAGGCAGAGGGAGGAUCGUGCGAGUGGCAUGGACGAAAACGAAAGAUACCUUGGUGAGCGCUUGAAGAGAGAAGUAUGAGAUUACUGUGCCAGAUUUCCGUGUGCCUGUGCUCUUCGAGGUAACCUUACACAUCCAUGAGUCUUUCUUGCUGUUGUUGCCUGCUGUGCCCAGUUUCUCUUCCUCAAGGUGAAGUUAAGUAUGCUCUUCACUACCCCCUUCUUGAGCACAAGAGCAGCCAUUCUUGUCUUUUUCUUUUGAUUAUUAUUUUUUGUUUUCGCUUCUGUCGCCGCUUCUGUUUUUUUUUUCUAACUGUUUUCUUUUUUUUUGCGUGUUUUCUUGCCACUUAUCACGUAUGCUUGCCCCCUUGUUUCCCUUCCUCUCCCUCCAUCGGACGUGAGUCCAGAUAGGUGUCCCUCUCUCCAUCCUGCUUCGACCGUCGCUGGAUCGCGGACAGUUCGGCAGAUACGGAGGUACGCCCGAAAUGUAUCUCACUUCCCUUCACAACGGCUGGGUAGCUCUCUCACCCCACUCAGCAUCUGUACCGCCCAAGCUCUCAACAGCGGGUCACAAAAGAAGACAAGCUCGAAAGGGCACACUUUAAACUCCUGCUGUACCUGGAGCAGCCGUGCGUACCACGUGCACAACGCACAGCAGAGAGGGACUCGCAUGAUUCGAGCAGAAGAAACGUAUGUGAAGUGUAUGCGGGCUCGGUCACGCAGCACCCGACUAUGUGUCUCUGCCCCUCUGUGGCUCUCUUGUGUCUGAUGUAGUAGCAUUUGGUUUUUUUUCUAUUUUUGUCUCGUUGCUCUCCGAGUUUGUUUUCUCUUAUUAUUAUUCAGCGCUUCUUCUCCCGUGGUUGGCCGUCUCUCCUCUCUUCUCUAUACGCUCCUGCUUGCGUGCGAAGGCCUUCAUCUGCCUCCCGGUCUCCCUUUUUUGUUGUUGUUUUGCAUUGUUUCUUCGCGCUGUUCGGCCCUACGUUUCUUUUUUUUCUUUUGCUCUCCUUCAAACUCGAGGCCCCCUUCUAUCUUUUUUUCUGACGAUCUUCGUGUGCUUCGGCUCCUCCACAUCCUCUCUCUCACCACACACACACACACACACACACACACACACAACAUGCCUCACAAACCUUCCUCUUGCUGAAAAUUAUUCGCACACAUACACAUGUCGCAGCUCUUCGUGAAAGAGGGAGCCUCAUGGGGCCUCUCGGUGAGGUCUGUGCACCUGUCUAUGUUUUGCCUCUCUCUUGUAGCGCCAUCUUUACCGAUUGGUCUAUGCGUUUCUCUUUUUUUUUCGUUGUUGUUGUUGUGGUUGUGGUUUUGACAUGUACUUUUUUUGCCGUCCUCCCUCCCCCACCCCUCUUUUUUUUUUCGUACGGCUGGCGACUUUUCCGUCCGAUCCCCCUCCGUCAGCGUGCACUUCUCUUUGAUCCGAUGGUAUCAUUUGUUUUUUUCGCGUCUUCUUUAAACCCUCGCGUGUGCUCCGUCUCUCUCUUCUUUUUUUUUCGUUGCCUUUUUUGUUACGGAUCUGUGCCUCGACGACACAGUGCUCUCUCACUCUUUCCACCGUGCCCCUGUUUCCCGUUUUCCUCUGUCCCCUACAUAUAUAUAUAUAUAUACUCGUAUGUUUUCGAUCUUUUUGUUGUGGUUGUUUCUUUGGGUAUUUGUCUCUCCUCCUCUUGAUUCCUUUUUUUUUUCGCGGUGUUGGCUUGUGGAAACUCGCGAAGGACUCAAGUACUUCAUCGUGCUGCUCUGUGCUCCCUCAACCCUCCUAUCCGUGCUCGUCUCAGUCGUGACUUGCAUAUAUACAUAUGACCCUCUGUUUUUUUGCAGAUUCUACGCGAACCUGUGCCUUGCAUGGCUAUCGAUGCUGUUAUUGGUGUUUUCUUCGCCGUUUUUCUUGUCACUUUUUCUGUUUUUUUUUUGUUUGUUUUUACACUCUUACACUGGUUUCUCUAUCUAUAUACGUAUUUAUUUUUAUAUGCAUUGAUCGUUGCACUGCUGUCGAUGCCCACAACCCUCCCUUCCUCCUCCGCCACUGCUGUCAAGAGCCUGGCAUGACAUCAGGGCCGCGCCGGGUGUCUUGCAACAAAAUGCGCGCAUGCGUGCUGGAAAGUAGUUUUUUUUUUCCGGUGUUGUUAUCGUAACGUGGCAGUCCAAAAUAUCGUGUGUGCAUACGCCUAUCAGUUGGUGAGCUGAUGGAGAAGAGAGCAAGGCCCUUGGCGUUGACGGGCAGUCACACACAGCAACACCAAAGAAAAACAAAGACGGUGUCUAUUAUGCUAGUGGUCGCGGCCGCUUCUUCUGCUGCAUGGAGGCUUGUCACGGUGACUUUUAUAUGUUUUCUCCUCAUUAUUAUUUUCUUCGUUGGGGCCCUCUUUCAGCGGUUCUUUGGCCCGUGUGACCUGACUCUCUCACUGCCCCUCUACAUGCCUGGUCCCUGCGCAUACGCUAGCGUCGUGGUAGGGUGGGUGCGUUAUUCUCUGUAUGAGCAUCAUAAACGCAGUUGAUUCCGAUGGCAGCAGCCCAUGAAGCGCCCUUCAACCCUUUCUUCCUCUCUCUUUGUGUACUGCCCAAGCCCUGAUAGCGGGUUUUGACUGACCGGGUGUGAGAGUCAACGCGAAUUACGACACGAUUACUAUGGGCUGUAGUGAUGGCGACAGCAACCCGUCAUUCACGCAUAUGUAGUGGUUCAAGUGACAACUUGCAGCGGACACAUAUCUCAGGCAUGCAUUUUUUUUUCUGGCCGGCUACUCUCUCCCUGUCUCUCUGCACAGUAUUGUGUGUGCUUCGCCCAAUUCUCUGCUCGAAAAGGAGCCCAGUCAAGCGCCGCAAGAGCGAAAACGAAACGAACAGGCACAGGCAAGAUGGACGUACGCGCCGAUCCUUGCCAUGGGCCUCUCGUGUCUCCUCUCAUCAUGCUUGGGAGUGCGAGAUCUGCGUUUGUGGGUUCUUUUCUGUCGGCUUGUUUCUGCUCAGCUGCUGCCCACGCACUCCCUUCUGUCCACACGCGUUUCUGUCGUUACACACACACACACACGCAUAUAUAUAUAUACAUGUCCAUCUGUAUCUAUAUUUUUCUUGUCGCAUAUAUAUAUAUAUAUAAUAUAGCAAUAUAAACAAAAAUACCUCUGUCUAUUUUUUUGUUUGUGACUGUUCGCUGUUCUUCCUUCCUGUAUGUAUAAAUAUGUCUAUAUAUAGAUAUAUUCACGCUCAGCAAUCUGCUUUUUUCCCUCUCCGCCUUUUUUUUGUUGUGUGCUUUUCGUUGUGCCUUGGGUUUCUUUCCGCUCCCUUAGACAGUUCACGACAGCACCGACAGGCACACGGAUGCGAACAGCUGCACACUCGCCCAUUGUGAUGGCUACGCGGUGCAUCACUGCGCUGGUCCCUUCGUUUGCUGGUGGUUUCUGUCUUUUCGUGCUUUUUUUCCUUGGGGAGGGGGAGCACAGGCUCCCGUCCUUCCUGCGCGUUACGAUUUGGUGCCGACUCUUGAACGAGAGCAGAGCAAGUAUCACAUGAACACAACAGCUUCUCUAAGCCUCCUCAUCUUUCAUGUCGUUGCAGCUUCCGCACUGCUUUUUGUUCAAUUGUUGCCCUUCUGCUUGUUCUCGUCGCUGCUCACGUAGUACACCGAGAGAGCUGCAGGCCCUCUUUUUUUCUUUUUUGAUCGUUUGCUUGGCCUUUGCUUUCCGCUCUCUCUCUCUCUCCUCCUAUGGUGAGGGACUCUCUCAGAGCAUUGCUGGACUGCGUGAUGUUGGCUUCUCGUGAUCCUCUUGCUUCUUUUUUUUUUGGUUGUUUGGUGACUUGACGCCCUCGUCUCCUGUGCAACCGCUGCUCGCUGCGCUGGCACUGGCGCGAUGAUAUCCUCUUUCUACUCUUGUAUGCGGCUGUAGAUGGUCGUCACUUCUUUCUGCGUGGUCCUCUCUUUAUCCAUUUAUUGUUGCCCGUUCGCGAUGCUCGUGUGACUUUGACAGACUUGUCUUGUGCCAUUCAUCUUGACUGGUGAGUGCGUGCGCUUUUUCAUCCCGUUCCUUCCCCGUCUUCCUCUGGCUGUUGCAGUCGCCGUCUCUACGUUGGCUGCUCCUUGAUUCGCCAUCACCGAAGAGCAUGGCUGUCAGGGCCCUCUUCCUCUUCCCUGUGCUCCGCGUGCGCGACGUCGGCAAGGGGAACAGCCACAACCACAGGGCAGGAAGACUCUCCUCGUCUUUGUCUUUAUGCUCUCCCUCCCUCACAAUUUUGUUUUUACUCUUCUGCGGCCGGCAUCUGCCUUGAUACUUCGUUACGUUUUCGUUCUUUUCUCUCUUAAAACAGAAUAAAUCGUUUCUUUUUUUUUCGCUGGUCUCAUUUUUCAUCUUCGCCUGUUCACCGUGUUACGCUAUGCUGCUGCGCGUCUUCUCACGGCGCUCGCUCUCGCUCGUUCUUUCUGCGUGCGCCCUUCCUUUUUUUUCUCCCCUCGUACCUUUUCGGCUUUGUAGUGACGUCUGUUGUCUCAUUUCGCUUUCUUGUAAGCGACGCAUCCGUGAUUUUCUUCGUCUUUACUUGCUCGCUGGGAUUCCCUCCACCCCUCCCCCCUCACUCCGUCUUUGUCGACUUCGUCUCUCGUGGCGGCGCGUUUAUUUUCACCUCGUUCUUCUCAUCGGGUGCGUUUCCCCAUGACCUUCGUAACCCUACCCCACAAGCCUAAGCGUCUCUCCUCUCUCUUUUUUUGUUGGAGAGGGGGAGAGGGGAGGGGAGAAGAGUGAAGGGGGCUUGUAUGUGUGCGUGCGUGUGUGAGACUCUGCACUUGCCUUCCUUUCUCCUCUCAAACAACCGUCAUCGUAUCUGUUCUGCGUUCUUGUGUUGGUUUUUUAUGACGUUUUUCGAAAUCCCUUAGGCGGCUCCAUGGCUUCGCUUUUCCGUUCUACGGUGCAAAAAAGAGGAAACGCCGAGGAGCGGCCAGACAACGUUAAGGAUCCAUUAAAGAACCAACAAAGAGCCGAAACAAUAAUAGUAAUAGCACGUCUGCCGGCCUUCCGCAACGCAGACGAAAAAAAAAGCAAAAAAAAAAAGGAACGGAUCGAGUGAGAUUGAGAGAGUGAAACGAACCUCGACAAUAUCUAAAACAGCUUAAGCACAACGGAGAGUAAAACGCGCCGUUCGCCGGCAACGUGUGCGGUCUUGACAUGCGCUGUGCGCCGCUUUUUUGUUGUUUGUGUGAGUGAGUGUGCCUUCUCGUAAGCGCGCCAUGAUGGGCGACAUCUUAAAUCUCCUUUUAGUUGAGGUCUUUCAUCACUCUCGUCCACUUUCUGUUGUUUGUACCCCUUCGCAUCUAUUUUUUUUUCAG